rnacentral:rRNA from 1 species
UUAAAAAGCUCGUAGUUGGAUCUCGGCACAGGGGGCGGUUCGUUAUUUGACGGUACUGCCCCAUUUGUUCGUAUUUUCGCAAGAGGAUUGGGGGUCCCCUUUGUUGGGUGUCUCCGGUCGCUUGCAGGUUUACUUUGUAAAAAAUUAGAGUGCUCAAAGCAGGCUUACACGCUUGAAUAUUCGUGCAUGGAAUAAUAGAAUAGGAAGUCGUUUCUAUUUUGUUGGUUUUCGGAAAAUGACUUAAUGAUUAAUAGGGACAAUCGGGGGCAUUAGUAUUCAAACGACGGAGGUGAAAUUCUUGGACCGUUUGAAGACUAACUACUGCGAAAGCAUUUGCCAUGAGUGUUUUCAUUAAUCAAGAACGAAAGUUAGAGGUUCGAAGG